rnacentral:rRNA from 1 species
UGGGGAAUAUUGGACAAUGGGGGCAACCCUGAUCCAGCAAUGCCGCGUGGGCGAUGAAGGCCUUCGGGUUGUAAAGCCCUUUUGCACGCGACGAUGAUGACGGUAGCGUGAGAAGAAGCCCCGGCUAACUUCGUGCCAGCAGCCGCGGUAAUACGAAGGGGGCGAGCGUUGUUCGGAAUUACUGGGCGUAAAGGGCGCGCAGGCGGCCUUAGAAGUCAGAUGUGAAAGCCCCGGGCUCAACCUGGGAAUGGCAUUUGAUACUCUGAGGCUGGAGUACGGGAGAGGAGAGUGGAAUUCCCAGUGUAGAGGUGAAAUUCGUAGAUAUUGGGAAGAACACCGGUGGCGAAGGCGGCUCUCUGGACCGUAACUGACGCUGAGGCGCGAAAGCGUGGGGAGCAAACAGGAUUAGAUACCCCUGUAGUCC